GCCCCCAUAGCUCAGUCUGGUUCAGAGCGCUGGUCUUAUAAGCCAGAGGUCUCGAGUUCAAAUCUCGGUGGGGGCA
rnacentral:tRNA from 1 species